CAACAAAUAUACCAUACAUCUUAUGAUUGCUCCAGCUGAAGACUGACCAGCCCAUCAUUACUCCACCUUUGGUGAAAUGAGACCCUGAUGGAUUACUGAAACAAUACACAAUUGGUACGUGUGAAUUUCAAUUUAUAUUUAACUAUUUUCAUUCAUACACUAUACUACUUGUAUAAACACACAUUGUGUCUCUUCCUCAGAAGGGAUGCAUACAACAGUGGUAUAUAAUUGUAAUUACUAUGAAUUCUAACUGUGUGAUUAUGUAACUGAUGUGUCAUGUCUUCUUCAAAACAUGUACCCACAUAUUUAUCCCAUGACACAACCAUCACAGGCGAUAUCAGCCACUGUCAACUCCAGCCAGAAACUAAUGCAUGCUAAGCAAAUGUGUUAUAACUAUAUGUUGAUUGCUUCUCAUUAUAUAAACAUGUAACUAAUAUAUUGUCUCUUCUUUACAGCCUGUUACCAACCACUCAACCCGCCACUACUCCAGGGAUCAGCCUAUGACAACUCCACCCAAAAAGGGAUGCAGCACACACUUCACAUGUACCAGAAAUUGUUAUUUUUUAAUUGUUUCUCAGCUUUUUUGUAAUAACAAGUCACAUUAUUUAAUUUCAUAAUACAUUUUGACAUUUAA